GUAUUUGCAUAAACUUUUGCUCUACUCCCGCGUAGCGAAAGGAGAGUUGGAGACUGCUUUGACCUGGCGCGGUGACGUCAAUAAAAAUAAGGUAUUCUGGAUGAAAGCCUGGGAAACCUGGGAUCCACGACUGUGUGUGCGUGCUCAGUCCUGACUGACCCUUUGUGACCCCAUGGACUGUGGCCCACCAGGCUCGUCUGUCCAUGAAAUUUUCCAGGCACAUUCUUUACUGUUGCACCACCUGGGAAUCCAGAAGAGGGACCAAUUUUGAGAAACAUACUCAGCCAGUCCUGGAACGCUUUCUGCAGUGCAGCAGGAUGUCUCACGUGUCAGGCUUCAGGGAAACACCUUUGCAGGAUUUCCACCUCUUCCUGCAAGGCCAUGCUUAGCAAACUCUCUGGAGUUGUGGUUUACUGCUGGGGCUGCUAACAAGUUUGGAUCCUGAGUAGCAUUUACUCAACCUCUGAUUCUUUGAUUGUGAAAUAAAGGAAUUG
ensembl:lncRNA